UCUUCUUCUUCUUCUUAUUUUUUGAUUGAAUCAGACACUGUUUAAUCUGCUUGGAUUUCGAAUUCUAUGGUGUGAAUUUUAUUCUUACCUCUAAGUUCCCAAUCCUUUAUUUAUUUAUUUUUUUGUCAUGUUUUUGAAAUUUCUACGUUGACUUUCGUUGUAAGUUUUUGUUUUGUUUCUUAGUAUGGUAACGGUUCCUGGGAUUCUUAAAUGAAGCUAAGUUCGAUGUUGUGUUCGAUUUUAGGUGAUUUUCACAUCAAUUAUUGUAAGCAAAUUAACUAAUAGGUUUGAUUUGAGGUGGCUGUUUCGGUAUUUUUCAGCAUCAAAUGUAGGAAUAGUGGAAUUCUGGAUCUUAAUUUUGCUUUUAUGGGAGCUUACUAAUUUUUAAUUGGGCGAGGGACGGUGGAAAGUGGGUGUAUGUGCUUUGACGUGUGAAGAGGAGAAGGAUUAUAUAAU
rnacentral:misc_RNA from 1 species